CAAUCUUCUUUUCUUUUCUUUCGUCUUUCUGGGAUUUCAAUCGCGUCGCACGUUCUCACUUUCUGAUUGUUGCUUUUUUUUAGGGGGUUCUUUGCUUCCUGCAUAAAUUGGUGGAACGAUAUGGGGUUUAGGGUUUAUGCCGCUCUUUCGAUCAUCAGGAUUUGGUCUGGACAACCUUCCUUCCAAGAUUAAUCUGAACCAGAGCAUGUCAUUUCCAUCAUCAUCGUCCAGGUUUUGCGAAUACUAGGAGACGACAACGUGCGGCCACAAAAGGGCUCCCAUGAAGUCCUCAGCAGGGGCCGACGAUUUCCGGAAUUUUCGUCAAAUUUCGGGAGAGUUGCCCGUGAAAUCGCCGUUGGGGGGUUCUUUAAGGACUAAGUUGUUCGUGAAGCACUAGAGCCAUUGGAUGAAUUGAAGCAAGGGUGACUGGGGAAGUGGUGAGUGAUGCUGAAAAGAAUUUGGGUGAUGGGAAGCCUGCACGUGAGGAAAAAGAGGCAGCAGAUGGAAACAAGGAAAGCCCUGUUUAUGAAAGUGAAGAAAAGGAGCCUGAGGAUAAGGAGAUGACACUGGAAGAAUAUGAGAAGGUGUUGGAAGAGAAAAGAAAAGCCCUGCAAGCACUCAAGACUGAAGUGAGAAAGGUGGAUGCAAAGGAGUUUGAAUCCAUGCAGCCACUUUCCCACAAGAAAGACAAUGAUGAGAUCUUUGCUAAAUUGGGAUCUGACAAGGAUAAGCGCAGAGAUGCUAUUGAGAAGGAGAAAUCCAAGAAGAAGAGGGGAAGGUAAGCAACACAACAAUGAAAAUGACGCCCUUGCCGAGAAUCGCGACAGGAUCAAUGAGCAAGCUGAUUCUCCACCUCUGGUGGCUUCUCUGUCUUCGAUACCAGCAUGGAUUCAGGGUGAAGAGGAGCACAGCGGUGAGGGCGAGUGAAGCAGCAAGCGCCAUUGAACGCCGAGUGGUGAACCCUUUGAAUGAGUGUCAUAGUUUUGAUGCUGCUCCAUUUUCCAUGUGUCGCGUUCCUAACCUCGAUUAUGUGGUGUUUUUUUGGUGUUCAACACCGCAGCAUAUUGAUUAUGGCGGUGAAUCACCCCCCAUGAGGUCAAUGUUAAUAGGUUUUGGCUGCUCAAAAGUUCCUUCUUUAUGAGAGUGCUUUUUUCUCUGCAAUUUUAGGAUCUGUGGGUGGAAGAAAGGUUUAUGGAAGAAUUGGAAUCCAUGAUUAAAGGGAAGGUUUUAGAUUUCUGUUGCCGGUGUUUGGCGUCAGAAGUCAGAACCCCUUCAAUUUGAAGGUCUGUGACAGAGCAGAGUAAAAUUUGAAACUAAAAUUCAAAUGCAGCUGGGGUACUGAAGAGGAAAAUCACACAAGGAAGGUGGUAGUUGAAGGCCUAUAAGCUUCUGAUAUUAAAAGCUUUGAGAGUGAAUUUGGACCUUGGCCGCUGUGAUGGUACCUGAGCUGGGCAAUGGCACUUGAAUGUGUUGCAAGUCUAUUAUUGAGCAGAAGGGUGUGUCCAAAUGCAGCUUGUGGCACUUUGAAGUUGAAAAUCACACAAAGAAGGUGGCAGUGGUUAGCAAAGUGUAUGGUAGUGUUAGAAACCUCUUUAAGUGUGCGGCUGCAAUUAUCACAAUUAUGGACCUCUUCCUAUUUUUUGCUGGUUUAAUUGGCUGUAGUUUUUUUCAUUGGCCGUAGAUUUUUUUCUCUUUUUAUUAGUUAGAAUGAACUAUGGUAGUGUAUGUUCUAUGUAAUGUAGGCUCUUUUGUACCAAAUGGCAAGUGAUAUGGCUAUAUCAUUAGCAUGUAAUGAAAUGAUUUUUAUUUUCUAUGAUGAAUGAGAAUGGAAAUUGAUUUA